rnacentral:rRNA from 1 species
UACAGAGGGUGCAAGCGUUGUUCGGAAUUAUUGGGCGUAAAGCGCGUGUAGGCGGCUUUGCAAGUCGGGUGUGAAAGCCCUCAGCUCAACUGAGGAAGUGCGCCCGAAACUGCAGAGCUUGAGUGCCGGAGAGGGUGGCGGAAUUCUCGGUGUAGAGGUGAAAUUCGUAGAUAUCGAGAGGAACACCGGUGGCGAAGGCGGCCAACUGGACGAAUACUGACGCUGAGACUCGAAAGCGUGGGGAGCAAACAGG